UUUUUUUUUUUUUUUUUCAUUUGCAAGGCCUUUCAAAGAGAUAUUUCUCCUCCUCCUUAUUGACUGUAAAUGACCUUAAGGAGGAGGGAGUGGCAAUAUUUAAUUAAAGACAUCUUCAGCUCCUCUCCCCUAUGCUCCCCAAACCAUGGGCGAGAAUAAGUUAUGAGCUUAAAACACACACACACACACACACACGCACACACACACACACACACACACACACACAGCAAAGAUAAAGGAAGGUGAAAUCUCCAUACUGCAGUUCAAGGCAAGACCUUGGACUUGGCGGCUGGCCCAUCACCCCACGCGGCACUUCCCAGACCACACGGAUGGAAUUUGUCUUUCUCGUAAAAGAUGUGAGUCCUUGCUAGGCAGUGGCAGAAAUUACCCCUGGUUGCUAGGACUCUGCAAGACACAGUCCUCCGACACCCAGAGCAGCCGCUUCCUGCUCUGAACUCUCCUCUUGAUUUUUUCAUUUGAACGUAUAGUGAUCACCACAGGCCAAGCACCAUGCCAGACGCGUCCUGCAUAGUGACUCACUCAGCCCUCGUGGAAGCCCUACAAAGAGAUGGUUCUAGUGCCCUGAACUGGGUUCCCCUCAAAUUCAUGCAUGGAAGCUCCAACCUCCAAUGUGAUCGCUUGGAGGUGGGGCCUUGGGGAUUGAUUAGGUUUAGAUGAGGUCAGGAGGUUAGAGCCUCAGGGCAUGAGAUGAUGGGCUUAGUGUCCUUAGUUAGAAGACCACGUGAGGCUGCCACAGGAGGACGAAGGGAGAAGGCAGCCAUCUUUGAGCCAAGCAGAGGGAUCUCACCAGAAACUGACCAGGUUGGCACCUUGAUCUUGGAUUUGCAGCCUCUGGAACUGUGAGAUAAUCAGUUUCUCUUGUAUGACCACCCAGUCUAUGGUAUUUUGUUACAACAGCAUGAGGAGGUAUCAUUUUUAUCACCCCUAAUUUACUGAUGAGGGAACAAAGGCACAGAGAGCUUAAGUAAUUUGUACAAGGUCACACAUAAGUGACAGAGCCAGCCCUGGAACCAGCGGUCUAGUUUGAGUCUCUGCUUUCACCACUAUGUGGAAGGUGCCUUUUCCUGUCCUAGGCUGUGCUUUAUGGUAAACAGUUCCACAGAAAGUCACUGUCACUGGGAAUCGGUUUGCAAGGUUGACUGUGUUGAGUUACAGGCCCCAGGAGCCCAGUGUGGGAAUCUCAAAUGCGGCCAACCUCGCGGAAUCCGCUCAGAACAGACUCACGAGCACCCUGUCCAGGCUGUGGGGUUUUACCUGCAAAAUGCAGGGACCUGCAACUGGGGUGCUGUGGCAGACAGCAAUCUCAUGCCCUUCUAGAACCUCUAGCCUCCUCCACUGGGAGGUGGAAUCCAAUUUCCCUGCUCUGGAAUCCAGGAGGAUGCGUGAUUCCUUUGUAACCAAUCAAAUGGAGCAAAAGUGACAAGGCGUGCCUUCUGGAGCUGUCAUCAAAGGAUACCCCUGCUUCCCCCCAGCCCAGACCUUCCAUGUAAGAAAUCCACCCCACCUCCUCCCUGGGGCCACCACACCACGAGGAAGCCCAGACCAAGAGGAGAAGUCAUACACAGAUGUUUCAGCAGACACGGCCCCAGCACAGCCCGUGGGCAGCCAGCCUCCAUGCCCAUCAAAGGAGAGAUGUCUCUGGAUGGUUCCAGGGCCUGCAGUGGAAUGGCCCAGCCUGUGAGUGUUCCCAGCCAAGGUCCUAGGGAAUGCAGAGACAAACUCUGUGCCCCGCCCUGUCUGAAGUCCUGACCCACAGAAUCUGUGAGCAUGACAAAAUGCUUGUUUAUACCUCGAGGGCUGGGGGUGGUUUGCUACACAGCAACCGUGGCCCGAACAGAUGCCAGGUCACAGCGCGUUCCAGUCCCUGCCACUCCCUGCUCCUUCCUGUGCUCAGCGUCAGGGGGGGGGGGGCGGCCACAGGGGUCGGUCCUGACCCCUGCUGGGGAGCUGACAUAGGAGCUUGAUGGACUGGUGGACAGAUGGAUAGAUGGACAUGUCGCUCUGGUGAAUUUCCAAAGGCAGCCUGCCUGAGGCUGGCUUCUCUGAGCCGCUUGCAGUGAUGCACAUCCUGGACCCUCUGUCUGGGCUUUUAAAAUCGAGAGCUGGGUGGAGUCACAUUCAGAGCAAAUACUCAACAUUUAGGCUUAAAAAGGCAACCUCUGCCUAGAAGCCCUACAGAGUCAGAAAGCAGAGUCCCUGGUGAUAUCAGAUCCCCCAAAGUGAGUUGUUCCUGUGGGUGUUGUUGGGGGGCGAGGGGCAGCAAAGGAAGGACGUAUGUCUUGCUGUCACACUGCUGCUGACCAGGCGGGUAUGGAGCCAGCUGGGGCGGAGCUAAGGAAUGUGCAAUCCGAUUUUCCGCAGGUCAGAAUAUACACACAGGCUUUGAAAGGCACACUUCUCCCUCCUGGGUUAUUUCUUCCCCACUGCAAGCAUUGUUCUGCGAGUCUUGCUAUUUUCCCAGUCCUUACAUUGUAGGAUCCGGAUGUUCCUGGAGCUCACAGGCCUGGAUCCUGAGCCAAGAAGGCUGGGACCAUGUGCAGAGAGAGCUCGUGUGUGCAAGACAGGCAGGCCCACCCGUGCAGCCUCACCCAGAAAAGCCACCUUCACAACUUGGCUCAGAACUCAGGGGUGGCCCCAUUCUGGCUCCGGUCAUGGCUCUUCUGUGUUGCCUUAAAAGAAUCUAAAGCAUUUGAGUGGGGAAGCUUCUCGGCCAUAAACUCGCCAUCCUCCCUUCCCUGGCCCCUGCUCUGGAGCUCCCACGCAGUUCUUGAAAAGAGACUUCCGCCUGCUCCCCGCAGGUGCAGGGGGUAUGGGGCAUGUGGGGGCCAGACACAGAGGGUGGGCCUCCAGGGAGCUCUGUCUGCACCUCACCUGCUCCUGAGGGUCCUUUGAGGAGGGGGCUACUCAGAUUCGAGCUCCCCACGGAUGACAGUGUCCACCUCGGCUGGAUCCAGGAAGGGAGUUUCUGGUGGUUCUUGGAGAGGCAGGUGCUGGUCUAGCAAGGAGAUCCUCUUCCUCUUUCCUCUCAUGGCCCCUGGUGAAGCCCCUGUAACUGUGCCAGCAGCAUCGCAGCAGCCACAGAGAAGAGGGCCUGGCCCUGGAUACCCACCCUUAGGCCAGGGUGGAGUCCUUGUCCCACAAGGAGUGGGGCAGCAAACAUUCAUCAGAGAUGCUCGCAGGACAGGUGACUCGGGACAAGGGUGGGCUGAAUUCAGCGUCCUAUUGUGCCUCUCCCGCAGGGACUCUCUGUCUAGGGCUAAGCUGGAGGGUCUGUGGCUAAUUUCACUCCAGGGGGCAGAAUCUCGUGACAAAGGCACCCAGGACGAUGCGUCCACGUUGCACAUGUGGCCUCAAAAGGUCAGGACUCGAGCCUGCCCAUUCCUUCAUGUGCACGACAAGCAGCUCCUUCUUCUAACGAACGACCUGCCACCCAGGCCAGCUGCCCAGCCUGUUGGAAAUGAACCACCAGAGGCAGGAAAAGACUCC
rnacentral:lncRNA from 1 species